AAUCAACGCUGGCGGCGUGCCCAACACAUGCAAGUCGAACGCGAGAGGGGCUUCGGCCCCGAUUGAGUGGCGAACGGGUGAGUAACGCGUGGGUGACCUACCUUCGAGUGGGGGAUAACGUCCCGAAGGGGACGCUAAUACCGCAUAACAUCCUGCUUUUGAAUGGGUGGAGAUCAAAGCCGGGGAUCGCAAGACCUGGCGCUUGAUGAGGGGCCCGCGUCUGAUUAGCUAGUUGGGAGGUAACGGCCCACCAAGGCAACGAUCAGUAUCCGGCCUGAGAGGGCGGACGGACACACUGGGACUGAGACACGGCCCAGACUCCUACGGGAGGCAGCAGUGGGGAAUUGUUCGCAAUGGGCGCAAGCCUGACGACGCAACGCCGCGUGGAGGAUGAAGGUCUUCGGAUUGUAAACUCCUGUUGCCCGGGACGAAUGGCUCCGACCUAACACGUCGGAGUGUGACGGUACCGGGUGAGGAAGCCCGGCUAACUCUGUGCCAGCAGCCGCAGUAA
rnacentral:rRNA from 1 species